GACGAACCGAGCGAACGUUGUUCGGAAUCACUGGGCUUAAAGGGUGCGUAGGCGGGCUGCCAAGUUUGAGGUGAAAUCCUCCGGCUCAACCGGGGAAGUGCCUUGAAUACUGGCGGUCUGGAGGGAGGUAGGGGCGUGCCGGAACUAACGGUGGAGCGGUGAAAUGCGUUGAUAUCGUUAGGAACUCCGGUGGCGAAGGCGGCACGCUAGACCUCUUCUGCG
rnacentral:rRNA from 1 species